rnacentral:rRNA from 1 species
AACGAACGCUGGCGGCAGGCCUAACACAUGCAAGUCGAACGCUCCGCAAGGGGGAGUGGCGCACGGGUGAGUAACACGUGGGAACCUAUCUUCUGGUACGGAACAACCAAGGGAAACUUUGGCUAAGACCGUAUACGACCUCCGGGUGAAAGAUUGAUCGCCGGAAGAGGGGCCCGCGUCCGAUUAGGUAGUUGGUGAGGUAACGGCUCACCAAGCCUUCGAUCGGUAGCUGGUCUGAGAGGAUGACCAGCCACACUGGGACUGAGACACGGCCCAGACUCCUACGGGAGGCAGCAGUGGGGAAUAUUGGUCAAUGGAUGCAAGUCUGAACCAGCCAUGCCGCGUGCAGGAAGAAGGCGUUAAUG